CAUAGCGGCGCGAUUCGCCCUUUUCCGGUUGAUCCUGCCGGACCUUACUGCUAUCGGGAUGAGACUAAGCAAUGCGAGUUGAGCGUUCUCUAGCUAUGUUGAGAGCGCGGCACACGACUCCGUAACACGUAGUUAACCUGCCCUUAGGAUGGAGAUAACCCCGGGAAACUGGGAUUAAUACCCAAUAGGCGAUAAUGCCUGGAAUGGUCUAUCACUGAAAAAGCGAUGGGAACAUGCUCCCAACGUUGCCUAAGGAUGGGACUGCGUCCGAUCAGGUUGUUGGCGGGGUAACGGCCCACCAAGCCUAUUACCGGUACGGGCCCUGAGAGGGGGAGCCCGGAGGUGGAAACUGAGACAAGGUUCCAGGCCCUACGGGGCGCAGCAUGCGCGAAAACUCCACAAUGUGCGAAAGCAUGAUGGGGUUAUCCCGAGUGCCGUCCGAUGAGGAUGGCUUUUACUUGGUGUAAGUAUCCAAGGGAAUAAAGGGGGGGCAAGACUGGUGUCAGCCGCCGCGGUAAUACCAGCCCCCUGAGUGGUAAGGACGAUUAUUUGGCCUAAAGCGUCCGUAGCCGGCUUAGUAAGUCUCUUAUUAAAUCCAAUGACUUAAUCAUUGACCUGUAAGAGAUACUACUAUGCUAGAGGACGGGAGA
rnacentral:rRNA from 1 species